AUUGAACGCUGGCGGCAUGCUUUACACAUGCAAGUCGAACGGUAACAGGCCUUCGGGUGCUGACGAGUGGCGAACGGGUGAGUAAUGCAUCGGAACGUACCCAGAGGUGGGGGAUAACGCAGCGAAAGCUGUGCUAAUACCGCAUGUGAUCUGAGGAUGAAAGCGGGGGACCGAGCAGCAAUGUUUGGCCUCGCGCCUUUGGAGCGGCCGAUGUCGGAUUAGCUAGUUGGUGGGGUAAAGGCCUACCAAGGCGACAAUCCGUAGCUGGUCUGAGAGGACGACCAGCCACACUGGGACUGAGACACGGCCCAGACUCCUACGGGAGGCAGCAGUGGGGAAUUUUGGACAAUGGGCGCAAGCCUGAUCCAGCAAUGCCGCGUGCGGGAAGAAGGCCUUCGGGUUGUAAACCGCUUUUGGCAGGAACGAAACGGUGUCCGCUAAUACCGGGCGCUAAUGACGGUACCUGCAGAAUAAGCACCGGCUGACUACGUG
rnacentral:rRNA from 1 species